CCUACGGGUGGCAGCAGUCGAGAAUCAUUCACAAUGGGGGAAACCCUGAUGGUGCGACGCCGCGUGGGGGAAUGAAGGUCUUCGGAUUGUAAACCCCUGUCAUGUGGGAGCAAAUUAAAAAGAUAGUACCACAAGAGGAAGAGACGGCUAACUCUGUGCCAACAGCCGCGGUAAUACAGAGGUCUCAAGCGUUGUUCGGAAUCACUGGGCGUAAGGCGUGCGUAGGCUGUUUCGUAAGUCGUGUGUGAAAGGCGCGGGCUCAACCCGCGGACGGCACAUGAUACUGCGAGACUAGAGUAAUGGAGGGGGAACCGGAAUUCUCGGUGUAGCAGUGAAAUGCGUAGAGAUCGAGAGGAACACUCGUGGCGAAGGCGGGUUCCUGGACAUUAACUGACGCUGAGGCACGAAGGCCAGGGGAGCGAAAGGGAUUAGAUACCCGAGUAGUC
rnacentral:rRNA from 1 species